GUCAUGUAACUUGACGGACUGCGUAACGAUGUAUACGCAGUGUUUACAAACAAAUGUGUAGCCGGUGUCUGACAUUAUCUACCCAACAGUCUUGGCCAAGAUACUCAUGCUGUAUAUUUUCUGCGAGCAGCUGAAGAUACUUCUACUCGAAGUUUGUUGUACAGUUGUUCACGUUUGUUUGUUUAUUAGCUCAUUAGCCGAACGUGUGUUGUUAGCAUUCAUUAGCACAAUGAAUGGACUCAUAGCCACUAUAACUAACACACGAGUGAUUUAUUAGCAUUCAUUAGCACAGUGAAUGGACUCAUAGCCACUGUGUGGCUAAUCCAGUUUAUGCUAAAGGCUUUAGUUCAUCGUUUCGACGUGAAAACCCUGAGGAUUUAUUGGACAGUGCAACGAGCUACUAAGUCAUUGCUCAGAGAAACUUUUCACUACACGGGCCGGACCCGCCAUCUUGGGACUUCAGCGUGUAUCCUGUUCCUUCCCGGAGACCGAGGCUGGUAUAAACUGCAUCCUGCUCCUUCCCGGAGACCGAGGCUGGUAUAAACUGCUGAAUGGAGUCAGACUUCAUGACCAAGCAGAGGGCUAAUCUUUGUGCAGCCACAGACAGACAGAAUAGCAAUGGUGCCCCGGAGAAAUGUGUUGAAUAAAUGGACAAGGCGGGAGGAUUGUGAGGAAACUCUCCCUCUCUGUUCUUCCACUCGGGAGCAGAGCGCUGAGGACCGGCGAGGCUUUCCGACUUCAUCCUGUCAAUACGACGGGAUAAGGAGUCCAACUGAAAGUUCAUUAAUUCCUGGGUAACCUAUGCCUGGGCCAGGCUAAUACCCCCCUCUGCUCUAUUGAUGUUGCUGUUCCCAGGGUGAGAGAGCAGCUUUAGGCAUGCAGCACACACACUUCUCUCUCUCUCUCUCUCUCUCUCUGUCUCUCUCUGAACAUUUCUUUCCACACCUACAACAUUUACAUUUGACACAUAGAAACUUACAUGGAGGCAGAGAUUCUUAUGAUGCUAUAUAUAUAUGUACUUUGAUUCUCAGUGUAAAUAUGAUGCCUUAUAGCUCACUUUUAAUACUUUGUACUCCAUACAGAGCACUUUGUGACUCCUGGUAUACAUAUUAUACAUAUUGUAGGUGCCAGAUGAUGAAAAUGUCAUUAUCCAUAGGGCUCUGAAAGCUGUGUGCUAAAUUAUUAUUGACAUCUGGAAGCCCCUGAAAACUUUAAAAUUACAUUUUUGUCUUAACAAUUUACCUAAAUAUUUUGUAUUCUUGUACAAUGUAAGGUUUAUUUGCCUGUAACUGUCCACAUGAUUAACCAGUUUCAAAAUAAUAAUGAAAAAAUGUUGCUACCAUACCAUUUAAGUAUUGGGAGGCCUAGUUUCAUCAAAAUAUCAGUGUAAGUACUUACUGUAACAACAAAAUGUAGUCAAGUUGUGCAUGUGAUAAUCACAAUAUAAAACAUCAUGAAUAGACCUACUGCUAUACGUACCUCAACAACUCAAACAACAACAUAUAGGCCACCUGUACAUCAUAAAAUAAUGAGAUUGUAGCAAUCAACAAUACAAAUAUCAAUCAACAAUAACUAUAAAUGUCUCAGGAGCUUUGUAUGUACAUUGGGCCUUCUUAUUUGCUUGAGCUAGACACCUGGUAUCUUUUCAAUGCUGCAAAUUCAUUAAAGU